CACGUCGUUGCCCGCGGCCCUGCCUCAACAGCCCCGACAGUCCCCUGGGCCGGGAAGGUCCCAGCUCUCUUCCAUCGUCGCCUUCCUCUCAGCUCGGGAGCCUCCCCUCUUCCCCCCCGCCCGAGACGCCGCCGAGGGUCCUCGAAACGGAUCCCGGAUGGGCUCGAAAGUCUGGAGGCAGAAGCGGACCUCUGGGGAGAGGACCGAACUGCCCCAGAUUUGGAGGAGACGCCUGUCAGCGCGUGGAAUGCAAGCCCUUCUGCGCAGUUAUUUUUAUUCCCAGGGCCUUUCUGCCUCGUCCUCGUCCUCCUCCUCUAUUUGUUCCCCUUCUGUUCAGCUAUUUGUGUUUUCUGAUCGGGUUAUUUUGUGAUGAAGAGAACAGAGCGCUGUUCAGCCUCGGCAUCUUCCCUCCUCCCUUCAACACAACGCAACUCUUAAUUAAACAUGGGACACCCACGCCUCCCUUCCCACAGGACCCCUUCCAUCUGCUCCCCCCCACCCCAGUCUGAAAUACCAGCCUUUUAUGGGCAGAGAAAGCCUCGUGUUGAACUUCCCAAUUAGCCAGACACAUCGCAAAAUAAGAGACUCUAAAGAGCUAUCACUCCUAUUUGGAGGCUCUUCCUUCCAGGCCUUACCUAGUACGGUUUUGGUGGCCUUAGUGUGACUUUAAAAUCCUGCAGGGCUGAGGACACGAGACCGCAGACACUCAGGUCCUGAGAAGCAUGAUCUGUGUUUUGUGGUUGAUGGGUUAGGAUUAAUACUCAUUACAAAAGAAAGGUAAAAGUUCGGGAUCGAUUUGAACUGGGACAUUUUCAUCUUUGUAAAAGGCUUCAGGGGUAACGUUUCACCAGAGGUUCUAAGAGCUUCAAGAAAAGUCCUCCUUUCCAGGCAGAACAGUCAAGAGGGUUGGACGGGAACCUUGCAUUUCUCUUUUCUCCCUUUCUGGCCACACCAAGAAGGAGGUGAUUAAUGAGCAGUAGAGUACUGGAAUCUGAGGGUCAAUGAUUUUCUGGUGCCUGGGAUCGGGAUGCCUGGGGUGGGGGUGGGGG
rnacentral:lncRNA from 1 species